UGGCUCAAUGGUAGAGCGUUAGACUCAAAUACCAAAUGUUUCGGGUUCGAAUCCCAG
rfam:Schistocephalus solidus strain NST_G2 genome assembly, scaffold: SSLN_scaffold0006827